CACAUGACUCUCGGCAACGGAUAUCUCGGCUCUCGCAUCGAUGAAGAACGUAGCAAAAUGCGAUACCUGGUGUGAAUUGCAGAAUCCCGUGAACCAUCGAGUUUUUGAACGCAAGUUGCGCCCAAGGCCUUCUGGCUGAGGGCACGCCUGCCUGGGCGUCACGC
rnacentral:rRNA from 1 species